UACGUAGGGGUCCGAGCGUUUGUCCGGAAUUAUUGGGCGUAAAGGGCUCGUAGGCGGUUAGUCGCGUCGGGAGUGAAAACUCAGGGCUCAACCCUGAGCGUGCUUCCGAUACGGGCUGACUAGAGGUAUGCAGGGGAGAACGGAAUUCCUGGUGUAGCGGUGGAAUGCGCAGAUAUCAGGAGGAACACCGGUGGCGAAGGCGGUUCUCUGGGCAUUACCUGACGCUGAGGAGCG
rnacentral:rRNA from 1 species